UUCGUUUUUAUUUCAGAGUUGAAUAAUGCCGUUUUCUAUCCCCGAGCUACCAAACUCAGUGAAAUCUGAUAUUCGACAACUCUUCAGACAUCCAUACUAUCUAGUAAACAUAUCACUAUGUUUAUCCUUCAUCUUCGUAAAACUCACUCACCCCUUCUGUGAUUAUCUCUUCCCCGUCGGUCCGGAGCAAUGUGAGCUUGAUAUGAGAGAAACGGAGAUCUUAUUCUUCCUACUUGUUGUUAUCAUGAUCAGAUCAAGGAAAACUGGUUCUGUUACCAUGAUCUCCUACAUGUCCUCCGGUUUCAUGUACGCGAAGGUGGCAAACCUCAUUCUUUUCUUCCUUGCAGACCCCAGACUUGGACUAGUUUACCUCAUCUGCUUUCUACUCCAGGGUAUGCUACUACCUGAACCUACCUACAAGGGUCCUGAGAGUAUUGUUUACUUCAGAGGAAAUUCUAUUCAUGAAGAGCUAAUGAGGGAUACUAAGGUGACGUGGUUGAUCUGUUUCUACGCUGUCUGGUCUCCUGCCUGUAUAAACUUCCAACAUAUCUUCUCUAAACUGUCCGCCAGCUAUUCUACUCAAACUCUCAAGUUCGGAAAGGUCGAUGUCGGAAGGUUUGCUGAUUUGGCUGCAGAGUUUCACAUCAAUGCAUCCAGUCUCUCCAGGCAGCUCCCAACUGUUAUAUUAUUUCAAGAGGGCAAGGAGGUUGGUCGUGUCCCCCCAAUCAUCAACGGCAAGGUGUCCAAGUUCUUCUUCAAGGAGGAGGAUAUGGUCUCCGCCUUCGACCUCAAUAACCUCUACGCCAAGAGUAAGGAGAAGAAGCCGACACCUGCCCCCACAGUGGAGGAGAAGAAGAAGAACUAGAAGAAAAGAAAGGAGAGGUUUAUGAUCUCAAUACUCGGUAUGGGCAUCAAUAUUAGGGCAUGACGCCAAGAAACUGUUCUGUGCCGCACUCAAUAUACUUCAUGUUAUCAUGUUUCAUUUAAUAUUGGUAUUAUUAUUCAUUGCCAUGUUUAAAUUUACAAAAUGUUUUGUUAAAGGGACUGAACACGUAAUUUCAA
rnacentral:misc_RNA from 1 species